AAAAUCAUUUAAAGAGUAGCAAAAGGGUCUGAUGAUCUCUUCUUCUCUGUGCUAUUCAUCCUAUUUUUUUACUUAUAUGGAUUGUUAUUUUGCCUGAAUGAAUGAUUGUUAUAUAGAACAUUAUGGUUUCAUUGAACCAAGAAUCGAUCACUCAUCAAUACAAAAAGCCGAACAAGAUUCUUCCUGAUAAUCAAUGGAAUCCUAAGAUAAUACCAUCUAUCCCAUUGAGCAUGUCAACGUUUAUUCCUGUCUAUGUAGACCAUAUUCCGCCAC
rnacentral:lncRNA from 1 species